rnacentral:lncRNA from 1 species
CAGCACCUCCAUACGGCCCUAUAGGAGCCUGGGGUCCCCUAUAGGGUCAUCCAUCCCCCACAAUGGAAGGGAGAUCCUAUAGGGGGGGCAGCACCUCCAUACGGCCCUAUAGGAGCCUGGGGUCCCCUAUAGGGUCAUCCAUCCACCCCAAUGGAAGGGAGAUCCUAUGGGGGGGGACAGCACCUCCAUACGGCCCUAUAGGAGCCUGGGGUCCCCUAUAGGGUCAUCCAUUCCCCCAAUGGAAGGGAGAUCCCAUUGGGGGUGCCAGCACCUCCAUCUGGCCCUAUAAGAGCCUGGGGUCCCCUUUAGGGUCAUCCAUCCCCCCCAAUGGAAGGGGCCAGCAGCUCUAUCCGGCCCUAUAAGAGCCUGGGGUCCCCUUUAGGGUCAUCCAUCCACCCCAAUGGAAGGGAGAUCCUACUGGGGGUGCCAGCACCUCCAUCUGACCCUAUAGGAGCCUGGGGGUCCCCUUUAGGGUCAUCCAUCUACCCCAAUGGAAGGGAGAUCCCAUUGGGGGUGCCAGUAUCUCCAUCUGACCCUAUAAGAGCCUGGGGUCCCUUUUAGGGUCAUCUCCCCCUCCAGUGGAAGGG